rnacentral:tRNA from 1 species
AAAAUAAUAAGUUAAUUUAAACUACCACUCUUCAAAAGUGGAUAUGAGCUCAGCUCUUAUUUUG